CAGCACCUCAAGUGGUCAGGAUGAUUAUUGGGCCUAAAGCAUCCGUAGCCGGCGCUGUAAGUUUUCGGUUAAAUCUGUACGCUCAACGUACAGGCUGCCGGGAAUACUGCAGCGCUAGGGAGUGGGAGAGGUAGACGGUACUCGGUAGGAAGGGGUAAAAUCCUUUGAUCUAUUGAUGACCACCUGUGGCGAAGGCGGUCUACCAGAACACGUCCGACGGUGAGGGAUGAAAGCUGGGGGAGCAAACCGGAUUAGAUACUCGAGUAGUCC
rnacentral:rRNA from 1 species